UAGAAGAAAUAAUGCUAAAAUCAGUAAUAAGGGGCCCACCCCCUCCUGACACAAGUGUAAAUCAGAUCGGACUAACCACUGAACAUUAACGGACCCAAAACAAAGAGGGAAAAACAACAAACAGAAAAAACAAGAAAACAUUGCCAAUCCAGCCGUUAACCCAACACAGGAGUGUCAACAAGGAAAGACUCAAAGGAAAAGAAGGAACUCGGCAAACAAAACCCCGCCUGUUUACCAAAAACAUCGCCUCUUGCUAAAACCAAAAGUAUUAGAGGUCCCGCCUGCCCAGUGACCCACCCGUUCAACGGCCGCGGUAUUUUGACCGUGCAAAGGUAGCGUAAUCACUUGUCUCUUAAAUAGAGACCCGUAUGAAUGGCAUAACGAGGGUUUAACUGUCUCCUCCUCCCAGUCAAUGAAAUUGAUCUAUCCGUGCAGAAGCGGAUAUAAAAACAUAAGACGAGAAGACCCUAUGGAGCUUUAGACAAAAGACAAAACAAGUAAACAACACUCGAUAAAUCCAAACAAGAACAACAAAAGUAGUAAGCCUAUGAUUAAAUGAUCUAAAGUCUUCGAUUGGGGCGAUCAUGGGGGAAAAGAAAACCCCCACGUGGUACGGGAACACCCUUAAGACUAGAGGGACACCUCAAAAUCCCAGAAUAUCUGACCAAAAAUGACCCAGAAUAAUCUGAUCAACGAACCAAGUUACCCUAGGGAUAACAGCGCAAUCCUUUUCCAGAGUUCAUAUCGACGAAAGGGUUUACGACCUCGAUGUUGGAUCAGGACAUCCUAAUGGUGCAGCCGCUAUUAAGGGUUCGUUUGUUCAACGAUUAACAGUCCUACGUGAUCUGAGUUCAGACCGGAGUAAUCCAGGUCGGUUUCUAUCUAUGAUCAUACUCCCCCCCAGUACGAAAGGACCCGGGUGAGAGGGCCAAUGCCAAAGACAAGCCCCACCCCCAUCUAUUGAAAACAAAUAAAAUAG
rnacentral:rRNA from 1 species